rnacentral:rRNA from 1 species
UACGGAGGGUGCAAGCGUUAUCCGGAUUCACUGGGUUUAAAGGGUGCGUAGGUGGGCAGGUAAGUCAGUGGUGAAAUCCCCGAGCUUAACUUGGGAACUGCCAUUGAUACUAUUUGUCUUGAAUACUGUGGAGGUUAGCGGAAUAUGUCAUGUAGCGGUGAAAUGCUUAGAUAUGACAUAGAACAUCAAUUGCGAAGGCAGCUGGCUACACAAAUAUUGACACUGAUGCACGAAAGCGUGGGGAUCAAACAGG